rnacentral:rRNA from 1 species
UACGUAGGGGGCAAGCGUUAUCCGGAAUCAUUGGGCGUAAAGGGUGCGUAGGCGGCUUUAUAAGUCAGGGGUGAAAGGCUACGGCUCAACCGUAGUAAGCCUUUGAAACUGUAGGGCUUGAGUGCAGGAGAGGAGAGUGGAAUUCCUAGUGUAGCGGUGAAAUGCGUAGAUAUUAGGAGGAACACCAGUGGCGAAGGCGACUCUCUGGACUGUAACUGACGCUGAGGCACGAAAGCGUGGGGAGCAAACAGG